UCGCCAAAAAUCUCGUGCGUUUCUGCGAAAAAAAUUACGCGCAAUUUUGUGAAUGAAAGGGGAAAGUAGAUCCUUACGCGUUGCAUUCGCGCAUGUCAAUUGCGUACUAACCCAAUAAUUUUUAUAUCACGGCCAGUCCACUGAUACUGACAUUAUCAGCGAGUACACAUCAAAGGAAAAAUGUACAAAUUACCGAUAAAUGG
rnacentral:lncRNA from 1 species